rnacentral:misc_RNA from 1 species
UCUCCGUUGGUGAACCAGCGGAGGGAUCAUUACUGAGUAAUCGAUCUAAAACCCUUUGUGAACAUACUUAACUGUUGCCUCCGCCGGCACAGGUCCCUCGCCGAUCUCUCCCGCCAUCGCCCUCUCGGGCGGCGCGCCCGCCGGUGCAUACCAAACUCUAUUUUAACCUCGUAUCACUUUCGUGGCCCAAGCAAAUAAUUAAAACUUUUAUCAACAGCUCACUUGGUUCUGGCAUCGAAGAAGAACGCAGCAGACACGAAGAAGAAACGUCUGAACCCC